UACGUAGGGUGCAAGCGUUGUUCGGAUUUACUGGGCGUAAAGGGCGCGUAGGCGGCGCGUAAAGUCGGACAUGAAAUCAUUAGGCUUAACCUGAGGGCUGUGCCCGUUACUUACGUGCUUGGAGUGCGGGAGAGGCAAUCGGAAUUCUCGGUGUAGCGGUGAAAUGCGUAGAUAUCGAGAGGAACUCCGGUGACGAAGGUGGGUUGCUGGACCGACACUGACGCUGAGGCGCGAAAGCUAGGGGAGCACACGGG
rnacentral:rRNA from 1 species